rnacentral:rRNA from 1 species
GGACGGGUGAGUAAUGCCUAGGAAAUUGCCCUGAUGUGGGGGAUAACCAUUGGAAACGAUGGCUAAUACCGCAUAAUGCCUACGGGCCAAAGAGGGGGACCUUCGGGCCUCUCGCGUCAGGAUAUGCCUAGGUGGGAUUAGCUAGUUGGUGAGGUAAUGGCUCACCAAGGCGACGAUCCCUAGCUGGUCUGAGAGGAUGAUCAGCCACACUGGAACUGAGACACGGUCCAGACUCCUACGGGAGGCAGCAGUGGGGAAUAUUGCACAAUGGGCGCAAGCCUGAUGCAGCCAUGCCGCGUGUGUGAAGAAGGCCUUCGGGUUGUAAAGCACUUUCAGUCGUGAGGAAGGUGGUGUAGUUAAUAGCUGUAUUAUUUGACGUUAGCGACAGAAGAAGCACCGGCUAACUCCGUGCCAGCAGCCGCGGUAAUACGGAGGGUGCGAGCGUUAAUCGGAAUUACUGGGCGUAAAGCGCAUGCAGGUGGUUUGUUAAGUCAGAUGUGAAAGCCCGGGGCUCAACCUCGGAAUAGCAUUUGAAACUGGCAGACUAGAGUACUGUAGAGGGGGGUAGAAUUUCAGGUGUAGCGGUGAAAUGCGUAGAGAUCUGAAGGAAUACCGGUGGCGAAGGCGGCCCCCUGGACAGAUACUGACACUCAGAUGCGAAAGCGUGGGGAGCAAACAGGAUUAGAUACCCUGGUAGUCCACGCCGUAAACGAUGUCUACUUGGAGGUUGUGGCCUUGAGCCGUGGCUUUCGGAGCUAACGCGUUAAGUAGACCGCCUGGGGAGUACGGUCGCAAGAUUAAAACUCAAAUGAAUUGACGGGGGCCCGCACAAGCGGUGGAGCAUGUGGUUUAAUUCGAUGCAACGCGAAGAACCUUACCUACUCUUGACAUCCAGAGAACUUUCCAGAGAUGGAUUGGUGCCUUCGGGAACUCUGAGACAGGUGCUGCAUGGCUGUCGUCAGCUCGUGUUGUGAAAUGUUGGGUUAAGUCCCGCAACGAGCGCAACCCUUAUCCUUGUUUGCCAGCGAGUAAUGUCGGGAACUCCAGGGAGACUGCCGGUGAUAAACCGGAGGAAGGUGGGGACGACGUCAAGUCAUCAUGGCCCUUACGAGUAGGGCUACACACGUGCUACAAUGGCGCAUACAGAGGGCAGCAAGCUAGCGAUAGUGAGCGAAUCCCAAAAAGUGCGUCGUAGUCCGGAUUGGAGUCUGCAACUCGACUCCAUGAAGUCGGAAUCGCUAGUAAUCGUGGAUCAGAAUGCCACGGUGAAUACGUUCCCGGGCCUUGUACACACCGC